rnacentral:rRNA from 1 species
UACGUAGGGUCCGAGCGUUGUCCGGAAUUACUGGGCGUAAAGAGCUCGUAGGUGGUUUGUCGCGUUGUUCGUGAAAACUCACAACUCAAUUGUGGGCGUGCGGGCGAUACGGGCAGACUAGAGUACUGCAGGGGAGACUGGAAUUCCUGGUGUAGCGGUGGAAUGCGCAGAUAUCAGGAGGAACACCGGUGGCGAAGGCGGGUCUCUGGGCAGUAACUGACGCUGAGGAGUGAAAGCGUGGGGAGCGAACAGG